rnacentral:rRNA from 1 species
UGGGGAAUAUUGGGCAAUGGGCGCAAGCCUGACCCAGCGACGCCGCGUGGGCGAUGAAGGCCUUCGGGUUGUAAAGCCCUGUCAUGUGGAAAGAACAGUUCCGCGGUUAAUACCCGCGGAAUUUGACGGUACCACAGGAGGAAGCACCGGCUAACUCCGUGCCAGCAGCCGCGGUAAUACGGAGGGUGCAGGCGUUGUUCGGAAUUAUUGGGCGUAAAGGGCGCGUAGGCGGUUGUGAAAGUCAGAUGUGAAAUACUUCGGCUCAACUGAAGAACUGCAUCUGAAACUGCAUAACUCGAGUACAGGAGAGGGAAACGGAAUUCCCGGUGUAGAGGUGAAAUUCGUAGAUAUCGGGAGGAACACCAGUGGCGAAGGCGGUUUCCUGGCCUGAUACUGACGCCGAGGCGCGAAAGCGUGGGGAGCAAACA